UCCCACGGCCUGGGCCAGGCGCGUCAUC
rnacentral:sRNA from 1 species